GGGCCCGCUUAGCGCACCGCUUGGGAGCGCAUCACAUUCGCAUUGUGGGGGUCGUCGGUUCGAAUCCGAUCAGGUCCACCA
rnacentral:tRNA from 1 species